CCUACGGGGGGCAGCAGUGAGGAAUAUUGGUCAAUGGACGGAAGUCUGAACCAGCCAUGCCGCGUGCAGGAAGACGGCUCUAUGAGUUGUAAACUGCUUUUGUACAAGGGUAAACCUGAAUACGUGUAUUCAGCUGAAAGUACUGUACGAAUAAGGAUCGGCUAAAUCCGUGCCAGCAGCCGCGGUAAUACGGAGGGUCCAAGCGUUAACCGGAUUUAUUGGGGUUAAAGGGUGCGUAGGCGGAUUGAGAAGUUAGAUGUGAAAUGUCCGGGCUUAACUCGGGAACUGCCUUUAAUACUGUUGUUCUAGAGAGUAGGUGCGGUAGGCGGAAUGUAUGGUGUAGCGGUGAAAUGCUUAGAGAUCAUGCAGAACACCGAUUGCGAAGGCAGCUUACCAGUCUAUAUCUGACGUUGAGGCACGAAAGCGUGGGGAGCAAACAGGAUUAGAUACCCGGGUAGUC
rnacentral:rRNA from 1 species